AUAUGUAUUGAGUUUUUGUCGACUUCAAAUUUUGACCUUUAGUUAAGCGUGCUUGGGCGAGAGUAGUACUAGGAUGGGUGACCUCCCGGGAAGUCCUCGUGUUGCAUCUC
rnacentral:rRNA from 1 species